rnacentral:rRNA from 1 species
GACGAACGCUGGCGGCGUGCCUAAUACAUGCAAGUAGAACGCUGAAGGAGGAGCUUGCUCUUCUGGAUGAGUUGCGAACGGGUGAGUAACGCGUAGGUAACCUGCCUGGUAGCGGGGGAUAACUAUUGGAAACUAUAGCUAAUACCGCAUAAGAGUAGCUGUUGCAUGACAUUUACUUAAAAGUUUCAAUUGCAUCACUACCAGAUGGACCUUCGUUGUAUUAGCUAGUUGGUGGGGUAACGGCUUACCAAGGCGACGAUACAUAGCCGACCUGAGAGGGUGAUCGGCCACACUGGGACUGAGACACGGCCCAGACUCCUACGGGAGGCAGCAGUAGGGAAUCGUCGGCAAUGGACGGAAGUCUGACCGAGCAACGCCGCGUGAGUGAAGAAGGUUUUCGGAUCGUAAAGCUCUGUUGUAAGAGAAGAACGAGUGUGAGAGUGGAAAGUUCACACUGUGACGGUAUCUUACCAGAAAGGGACGGCUAACUACGUG